rnacentral:tRNA from 1 species
GACAAUGUAGCUCAGUGGUAGAGCACUUGCCUAGGAUGCAAGAGGACCAGGGUUCAAUCACCAGUACUCUAA